UGUCCAGGGGCGGGAAUCGAACCCACAACCUUCUGCUUACCGGGCAGGUGCCAUGUCCACUAGGUUUUAC